rnacentral:pre_miRNA from 1 species
GAUGUGUGUGAGAGAGAGACAGAGAUGUGAGAGAGAGACAGAGAUGCGAAAGAGAGAUGUGUCUCUCUCACAUCUCUGUCUCUCUCUCACAUGACAGAGA